rnacentral:rRNA from 1 species
AUUGAACGCUGGCGGCAGGCUUAACACAUGCAAGUCGAGCGGGGUGAUGGUGCUUGCACUAUCACUUAGCGGCGGACGGGUGAGUAAUGCUUAGGAAUCUGCCUAUUAGUGGGGGACAACAUCUCGAAAGGGAUGCUAAUACCGCAUACGUCCUACGGGAGAAAGCAGGGGAUCACUUGUGACCUUGCGCUAAUAGAUGAGCCUAAGUCGGAUUAGCUAGUUGGUGGGGUAAAGGCCUACCAAGGCGGCGAUCUGUAGCGGGUCUGAGAGGAUGAUCCGCCACACUGGGACUGAGACACGGCCCAGACUCCUACGGGAGGCAGCAGUGGGGAAUAUUGGACAAUGGGGGGAACCCUGAUCCAGCCAUACCGCGUGUGUGAAGAAGGCCUUAUGGUUGUAGAGCACUUUAAGCGAGGAGGAGGCUCUUUUGGUUAAUACCCAAGAUGAGUGGACGUUACUCGCAGAAUAAGCACCGGCUAACUCUGUGCCAGCAGCCGCGGUAA